AGGUAGACGGUGCCUGUUUUUUGCAGGUUAAAAGGGAAACAGUAAAACUGUGCGAACUCGUCACUGUAGUUACGGAGUAUGACAGCUAUUUUUUGUCACUGGGUAGUACCGGGAAGGCGUGCUGUCAUAUGUUGAUGUAUUAGCCAGGAGACCUGCCGUUUAUAAAU
rnacentral:ncRNA from 1 species